rfam:Salmo salar isolate Sally breed double haploid chromosome ssa28, whole genome shotgun sequence.
UGAAUUCACUACUGUAAGUCGCUCUGGAUAAGAGCGUCUGCUAAAUGACUUCAU